rnacentral:miRNA from 1 species
GGAUGGAGCCACCUCAGGUGCAGAGCUUGGUGGUACUAGCAAAUAUUCAAACAAGAAUGUUGAAAGCCAAAGUGGAGAAGGGUUCCAUAUG